rnacentral:lncRNA from 1 species
UUUCUUGUGUAAGGUGGGGGGUUUCGGGAUCCGGAUCGGAGGUGUAGAUUUAAAGAUGCUUUUUACUAAGAUCAUAUUUGUAUUGUUUUGCUAUCCAUGUUCAGAAUUACAACAUAUGCAUAGUCUAGGUUGCUCUAGAUUACUUACCUUUGCUCUAUCUGUUAUCUGUCGUACAUGCUUAGUAGAUUGGAUCUAAAUCUGACAUACCAAGUUAAUACUAACAAUGUUAGUUGAAAUAGAUCUUGUGAUGUAAGUUCCACGGAUUGAUAAACCUUGGGGGAAUACUCUGAGGGAAGAGCUACAACUGAUCCAUACACUUGCGGUUCACAAAUUGGCGUGCUAACAGUUGUC